AGCCAAUCAGAAGGCGGCGCCUUGGAAAGCCGCUGAGGCAGCUCCGCCAGGAAACGGCGACGGGAAAAAAGGAGCUAAAAAAUCGGUGACAGGGACAGAAACCCCGCACCUGCCGAGGAUGUAAAGAAAAGGGCGGGAUUUGACUUAAAUAAAGCAGGACCCAUGACCCUGACACGAGGAUCCUUCACCUACUCCAGCGGGGAGGAAUACCACGGAGAAUGGAGAGAAGGUCUGCGUCACGGCCUGGGUCAGCUGACCUUCAGCGACGGGACGUGCUACACGGGACAGUUCGAGAACGGCCUCUUCAACGGCUGCGGCGUGCUGGUCUUUCCCGACGGAUCCAGGUACGAAGGCGACUUUGCGCAGGGGAAGUUCCAGGGCGUCGGCGUCUUCACUCGCUUCGAUGGGAUGAAGUUUGAAGGCGAGUUUAAGCGCGGCUGUGUGGACGGAUUCGGUCUGCUGACGUUCGCCCACGCCCGAGGGGGGGGCAGCCACGAAGGCCUGUUUGAGAGCAGCCAGCUGGCGAGGAGGGGGAGCAGCCAUGGCGCCGUCCAGAGGGCGCAGGCGGCCGCCGCCAAGGCCCGAGCCCUGGCCAUGUGACCCCGCGCCGCCCGUUCACCCGGACCGACGGGUUCCCUCCCCAGGACAGAAACCGAACAGAGCCACCGCCUCGGGGUCAGCCGAGGAGCCGCCGGUGCUAAAUCUGGUUCUGGAGAACCCGACCGAACCCUGGAGCUGAAGGGGAUCCUGAGAGGACUGAUCCGGUGAUGUCAUCAGAACAACGGAUGAACGCAGAGGACAAAGGUAUGGGAUCGACCUUGAAGCAGACGGACGGCAGCUGCAGAAAGCCUCAGCAGGAACCGGUCCAGCCGGUCCGGGUCUGGACGUACAACCGGGCCAACCUGCCCAAACUGGACAAUAGAUCAGAAAAAAUCUGUUGAGAUGUCAGUAAAAACGGCGUGAGAGCGCCGACCAUCCUCUGCUGGGAGGACCAUGAAGGAAACCAAACUGUCAACCAAUCACAUCAAAACUCUAAAGGUUUGGAGGAUCAGGAACUGAUCUCCCCGAAGACGUUAAAGGGACUUAGAUUAACCCUUUAACACCACAGCCGACCCCAGUGACACAAACUGUGAAUGACUGUAACUCGUCAUGCAAUAAACACAAUUCAAUGGAAUUUCUUUAAAUGAAAUCAGGACAAAUCUGCUUUUGUCAGCACUUUACUGCAAACGUAUAAACAGUCAAAGAGUCACAGAGAUGGUUCAGUGGUACUCAGGUAUCAAAGGGUUAAAGAGUUGAACGUGGAAAUACCACGGAGAUAAUUUAGCAUCAACAUCCGUGUUAUUAUAAACUCAGAUACCACAAGUUAACCACAAACAUGAUGUUCAGAGCAGGAACAUGCUAACAACAUGACGAUGAGUUAAUAUGCUUUAAACAUGCUAAUAAUAUACAAACAUACCUACAAAAUGCUAAUACCAUGCUAAGAAAAUGUCUACCACAUGCUAUCAUAUACAAACAUGCUAACAACACGCUAGCACAGUCUGAGCGCCCACAGCUGCUAAAUCUUCAUAAUAAUAAUAAUAACUCGUUCAGUCAAACCUGUGAGGAAAUUAAAAUAUAUUAAAUAUUGAUCUAAAAUGAAGCAAAAAGAGAUGCUGUCUAAAACAAACAGAUUCUCCUGAUCCUGUGAGUCACAGUUUAGUCUCCAAGUUCCUGACAAACUUCUGCCUUUAACUCAUUUUGUCUUUGACUGAAACUAAAACGGAAGGAUUUGAGACUUAGAGACGGAAUGUUUGAUUAACAUUCUGGUUGACGUUGGGAUGUUUUAAACUCUCCGUUUCCAAACGUUUGAGCUCAGAACUCCGCCGGUCGGUUACACCACAGAGGGAACGUUGUUUUCUCCACUUACAAACACCAGAGCGUGAAUGGAGGUCAGCUAGAGUCAAACUUCAUUUCACUCAUUGUGUCUUUUUAUUUCAGAGGUGAGAUAAUUUUGGAUUACCUUGACAGGAAGUGAAUCACAAACAAUCAGAGGAAAAUGAAUUCCCUGAAUGCAGAGGUGAAAGGUUCCUAACAGCUUCACAGUCUUGUUUCUGAAUCCCAUAAAUAAUUGAAAGGUCAUAUAAACCAGGAAAAUCCCCAAAAUUCACCUUCAUUUAGUUCUCGGCACGCCGGCGUGGAGACGUUAUUAAAGUCCUCCCCGGGGCGGCUCAUCACAGCACAUCUUGAUUUUAAGAGCAGGAGCAUUAAUUUUAUGGGUCUGUUCUCAUAUUCAACAUGCCAGCGGAUUCUCCCUGCAGCUGAUUUGGGACAUAAAAAAUCCAAGGAGGACAAGAGGGAUGGAGCUGCAUGUGGGAAGGAUGGAGGGAAGCUGGACUAAGAAACUGAGGGGGCGGAGACCAGAUAUAAAUAUUCAAGAUUCUGAGAGUCCUAGUCCUGUGAUCCUCAGGUAUUUGUGAUGAAUGAGCUCUUCAGGUUUUCCCGCCCUGAGGAGGAACCAGCUGUCACCGGAUCUGCCAGCUGCUCGGAUGGAUCCAGGAUGGAAGCGGGAACGUCUCAUCAGGACGAUCGGAGGCGGUUUCUGAGCGUCCUCCCAAAGAUACACGGACAAACCGUAUCAAACCGAUCUGACUUGAUUCAGAAGCAGACGAUUGAUUUCUGGCGGUUUUGGCGUGUUGGGCGGUAGGCGGGGCCUAUAGGUCUGUGGUAACCAGAGCCGAAGGAGAUGCAGCUGCUCCGAGGACGCUCCUCGGACAGCAGCUAAUCCUGACCUCCGGCUUCACCCUGCAGACCGAAGGGUCCUCCCACAGACUGCAUGGAGGCGGAGCUUCCUGGUCGGAUCACGGAGCUUCGGGAUUGGAGACUUUAUAUUCAUCAGAAACGACUCCGGACUGUUUCAGAGUCACAGGAAUUUUGCAAAACGUCUUUAACUUCAGAGCCUAAGUCCUGAUUAUGGAUUAACCCCGCCCCUCUUCCCCUCCCCAUUACUGAGAGCUUUCUCUCUAUUCCCCCACUAGCUUACAGCCCCUCACAACCAAACAUCAGCAGUUCAACAAUAAUAUAUUCAACAUUCUAGAUUCCAGUUCAGACGAGGAAAACAAAGAAAGGGGCGGAGCAGGGAGACUGUGGCCCCGCCCAGUUUAUUUUCUACAUCACAAAUAUGAUCUUUUUCAAGCAGUUUUUUUUAUUUGCUCCUGAUUCACGAUUUGAAUAAAGACGUUUUUAGAAAUGUGAUUUUGAUCUAAAUGUAAACAUGUUUAAAAACACCAAAAACAGGAUUUUAGAUUAAAAUUAACUUUAGCUCAUUCACACAUUUGGUUGAACAGGAUUUUCAACAUAAAAGCCUUUCAUUCCAACAUUCAGUUUGCUUUGAUUCACUGUUGUAAUCAGAUUACUUCAGGGUUUAACUGAGUUUUCUCUGUGGAUUUGUGUAACUCUCAGAUCUUAACGCGUUUCUUUAACUGGAGGCAGUAAACGAUGUUAGAAAGUCAUACACGUCCGACAGAAGGAGGGAAAUAAUGUUGAUAGUUUUUAUGAAUGUCUGAGUUUAUGGAUGACGAGUUUUUGGAUAGUGGUGUAGGCGGGAAUCGAUUUGGGAAUAUAUCACAAUAUUUUUUUGCAGACACUUAUAUCGAUUUAGUUACCAAAAAAGGAAAGAAGAAAAUAAAAACAGUACGUGGAGUAGUCAGUAGAUUAAAACCAGAUAAGGAUAUGCUGACACCAGGGCCGGCCCUGGGCAUAGGUGAGCUAGGCGGCCGCCUAGGGCGCCAUCUCCUGAAGGGGGAGCCAAAUUUGUUUUUUUUUUCAUUUAGUGUAAAAUAGUAAAAUAUUAAAACAUUUCAUAAUUAAAACCACAGAUAAAAUAACUCAAAAGUUUGACAUAAUAAAACAUUUUUCUUGGUCCUGGACGGCGAUGUGUUAUGUUGAUAAUUCUUCAAAACUUUAAGGAUGAAAAAGCAAAACAAGCCGUCAGGGAGAGCUUUAAGGUAAAAGAGGAGGAAAAAUGAGUCAACGCAGAAGUUUGUCUGUUUUAUUUACAUUCAGUUGCUUGGAAAUUCUUCCCCUCCCCCAUUUUGGUAGAAAAGUAAUAAUGUUUUUUCAUUUAAAAAGAUAAAUUUAACUGGGACUCUCGUGUUUUUUCCUCUUUUUCUUUAACCCUUAAACACUACAGAUCCAUGUCACAUCAUCUACCACGCUGGUAGAUCUGUAUCAAAUGUUCGUGCAACCCCCCCCAUUGCAAAAGUUGGAGGUUCGUGUUCUGAUUAGGCAGUUUUAUCCAAAAACUAUUUUUACGUGGUUAUUAUUUCAUCUUUGACAAUAAUAAAUAAAUCCUUAUUUCAACAUA